rnacentral:rRNA from 1 species
UGGGGGAUAUUGCACAAUGGGCGAAAGCCUGAUGCAGCGACGCCGCGUGGGGGAUGAAGGCCUUCGGGUUGUAAACUUCUUUUGCUCUGAACAAGGCAUGCUAAUGGGUGUGUUGAGUGUAGGGGUUGAUUAGCGCCGGCUAACUACGUGCCAGCAGCCGCGGUAAUACGUAGGGCGCGAGCGUUGUCCGGAAUUAUUGGGCGUAAAGGGCUUGUAGGUGGCUGGUUGCGUCUGUCGUGAAAGCUAAUGGCUUAACUGUGGGUUUGCGGUGGGUACGGGCUGGCUUGAGUGCAGUAGGGGAGGCUGGAAUUCCUGGUGUAGCGGUGGAAUGCGCAGAUAUCAGGAGGAAUACCGGUGGCGAAGGCGGGUCUCUGGGCUGUUACUGACACUGAGGAGCGAAAGCAUGGGGAGCGAACAGG